ACUCGUAGCAGAAGUGGACCAUCCCUCUGAUAAUCUUGGUGGCCUUCUCUGGACUGACUCCAACAAGUCCCUGUCCUUCCUGUGCUGGGGACUCCAGAGCUGGUGGCAGCUCCCACCUGAGUGUGGCAGAGCGGCACAAUCACCUCCUUGAUGCUGCAGCCUCACAGAAUCAUUUAGCACCAUAAAAUACAAUAAUAGAAUCAUUUGGGUUGGAAAAGCCCUCUCAGAUCAUCAAGUCCAACCCAGCACUGCCAAUCCCAGUGCUAAACCACAUCCCCCACCUGCACUGUGAAGAAAAUCCUCCACAAGCCCGCGGGGAAGGCUGCUGAACAACAACUUACGAAGCUCCCAAAACAUUUAGCUGGAACCAGGAAAUACAGCCUUCAGCCUCAGUCUGAGGAAGGAAAUAGCACUCUUGAUGCAACCAGGCUACUGGUAAAGGACACAGGAUCCAGACCAGGCCUGGAGCUGGUGGUGGGAUAGGUGUCUGAGCAGACAGCUGCAGUCCAGGAAGCCCAGCCACCUUCGACAGGAAAACAAAAUCUGUCUCAUGCUGUUAAGCUGCCUGCAAAACAUGGGAAUAUCUCCUCUGGGUGUUGGAGAAAGAACAGCUGACAGGAAUCACUUGACCACAACUCCUGUGCUAAAAGCAGGAACCACACUGCAGGUCUCAUAGGCUUUUUUGGGCUGCAGGGCUUAUGCCCAAGCAAAAUUCCAGCAAUUCCAAGGGCAGAGAAGCUUUGGCUAGUACCUAAACUUUAAGGUAACUCCUGAAGCUUUGCCCAUCAGCCCAACUCUACGUGCUCAGCCACCCCUUCUCCCUCACCACCAUUCCAUCCAGCUCCUUUGUGCAACCCAAGCCUGUUCUGCAUUGCUCUAUACUGGAAAAUGCAAAAAAAAAGGUUUGAAUAUUCCCACUUAGUGGGAAGAUAUCCGGGCUCAAAUGCUCUUCUCCAGCGUCUGGCCAGUUAUUUCAAAUUUAAAAAUUAAAAUGUUGAAAAGGAAGUGGAGUGGGUUUGAGUGCCCUUUGGUCAAGGGAGCCAAUAAAGCUCAACUUUUGUAGUUUUAUAUUACUAGCAAGGUGACACAUCCAUGUGAAUGAAUCCCCAACCUGGAAAUGUGGUAAUUAACCAGGGGAAGGAAUUAAUUCCCUAUUUAAAAAUAAGAAAUAAAAAAAUCCUGGCAUGACAGCAGCCUAUUAUUUGGCUCUCUCUGCAAUGGGGGAGCACUUGGAGCAAUCCCCAUCUCUACCCUUGGGAAUGCAAAAACAUACUGACUUGUGCCUUCAACUUUGACAGGCAGCAAUAGGCUGCAGCCAGUUGUUUGGAAAAGGAAAUUCAAUACUUGUGUUUCCAAAGUUUCCUUGCUUUCACAGUGUUCAAAACCCUCUCCAGGCAUUUGGAAGUGCUAAACACAUGCCUUAAAAACACUCUUAACUGCUCCUAAUGACUGGCCAGGGAGGUU